GACGAACGCUGGCGGCGUGCUUAACACAUGCAAGUCGAACGGAAAGGCCCUGCUUUUGUGGGGUGCUCGAGUGGCGAACGGGUGAGUAACACGUGAGUAACCUGCCCUUGACUUUGGGAUAACUUCAGGAAACUGGGGCUAAUACCGGAUAGGAGCUCCUGCUGCAUGGUGGGGGUUGGAAAGUUUCGGCGGUUGGGGAUGGACGCGCGGCUUAUCAGCUUGUUGGUGGGGUGGUGGCUUACCAAGGCUUUGACGGGUAGCCGGCCUGAGAGGGUGACCGGCCACAUUAGGACUGAGAUGAGGCCCAGACUCCUACGGGAGGCAGCAGUGGGGAAUAGUACACAAUGGGCGGAAGCCUGAUGCAGCAACGCCGCGUGCGGGAUAACGGCCUUCGGGUUGUAAACCGCUAUCGCCUGUGACGAAGCGUGAGUGACGGUAAUGGGUAAAGAAGCACCGGCUAACUACGUG
rnacentral:rRNA from 1 species